rnacentral:snRNA from 1 species
UGGCAGCAUGUUCCAAUACUAAACUUGGAAUUAUACAGAGAAAAUUAUUAUGGCCUCUGUGCAAGGAUAUCAUGCAAAUUCAUGAACCAUUCCAUAUAAUU